rnacentral:rRNA from 1 species
GGCUCAGAUUGAACGCUGGCGGCAUGCUUUACACAUGCAAGUCGAACGGUAACAGGUCUUCGGAUGCUGACGAGUGGCGAACGGGUGAGUAAUGCAUCGGAACGUGCCCAGUCGUGGGGGAUAACGCAGCGAAAGCUGCGCUAAUACCGCAUACGAUCUGAGGAUGAAAGCGGGGGACCGUAAGGCCUCGCGCGAUCGGAGCGGCCGAUGUCAGAUUAGGUAGUUGGUGGGGUAAAGGCUCACCAAGCCGACGAUCUGUAGCUGGUCUGAGAGGACGACCAGCCACACUGGGACUGAGACACGGCCCAGACUCCUACGGGAGGCAGCAGUGGGGAAUUUUGGACAAUGGGCGCAAGCCUGAUCCAGCAAUGCCGCGUGCAGGAAGAAGGCCUUCGGGUUGUAAACUGCUUUUGUACGGAGCGAAAAGGCCCUCUCUAAUACAGGGGGUUCAUGACGGUACCGUAAGAAUAAGCACCGGCUAACUACGUG